UACGUAGGGUGCAAGCGUUGUCCGGAAUUAUUGGGCGUAAAGAGCUCGUAGGCGGUUUGUCACGUCGGAUGUGAAAACCCGAGGCUUAACCUCGGGCCUGCAUUCGAUACGGGCUGACUAGAGUUCGGUAGGGGAGACUGGAAUUCCUGGUGUAGCGGUGAAAUGCGCAGAUAUCAGGAGGAACACCGGUGGCGAAGGCGGGUCUCUGGGCCGAAAUUGACGCUGAGGAGCGAAAGCGUGGGGAGCAAACAGG
rnacentral:rRNA from 1 species